GCCCGUUUGGCUUAGCGGUAAAGCGCAUCACUAGUAGUUUGUCGAAACCCAGUUUAUAGAAUGAUGGGAAUUGGUGAAUGGAUGAAUGAUGAGAUCCUAGGUUCGAUUCCUAGAACGGGCA